rnacentral:rRNA from 1 species
GACGAACGCUGGCGGCGUGCUUAACACAUGCCAGUCGAACGGAAAGGCCCUGCUUGCAGGGUACUCGAGUGGCGAACGGGUGAGUAACACGUGGGUGAUCUGCCCUGCACUUCGGGAUAAGCCUGGGAAACUGGGUCUAAUACCGGAUAGGAGCCAUUUUUAGUGUGAUGGUUGGAAAGUUUUUUCGGUGUAGGAUGAGCUCGCGGCCUAUCAGCUUGUUGGUGGGGUAAUGGCCUACCAAGGCGGCGACGGGUAGCCGGCCUGAGAGGGUGGACGGCCACAGUGGGACUGAGAUACGGCCCAGACGCCUACGGGAGGCAGCAGUGGGGAAUAUUGCACAAUGGGCGCAAGCCUGAUGCAGCGACGCCGCGGGGGGGAGGACGGCCUUCGGGUUGUAAACUCCUUUCGCUAGGGACGAAGCUUUUUGUGACGGUACCUAGAUAAGAAGCACCGGCUAACUACGUG